rnacentral:rRNA from 1 species
GACGAACGCUGGCGGCGUGCCUAACACAUGCAAGUCAAGGGCGGUUUGUAGCAAUAUGAGUCGCACUGGCGUAAGGGUGAGUAACACGUAGGUAAUCUGCCCCUAUCACCGUAAUAACAGUUCUAACGGGCUGCUAAUGGCGGAUGAGGCGAGAGAUCGUCAAAGCGCGAGAGCGCGGAUAGGGAUGAGCCUGCGUCCGAUUAGGUAGUUGGUAGGGUAACGGCCUACCAAGCCGACGAUCGGUAGCUGGUCUGAGAGGACGAACAGCCACACUGGAACUGAGACACGGUCCAGACUCCUACGGGAGGCAGCAGUGAGGAAUAUUGGUCAAUGGACGCAAGUCUGAACCAGCGACGCCGCGUGCGGGAUGAAGGGGCUUAGCCUCGUAAACCGCUGUCAAAGAGGGNNGAGAGGGGCGNUUGUCGUCCGGGACGGUACCUCUGAAGGAAGGAUCGGCUAACUACGUGCCAGCAGCCGCCGUAAUACGUAGAUCCGAGCGUGUCNGGAAUUACUGGGCGUAAAGGGUGCGUAGGCGGCAAUGUGCGUCAGAGGUGAAAUCCACGGGCUUAACUUGUGGGGUGCCUUGAUACGGCAUAGCUUGAGUACGAGAGAGGUCGAUGGAAUUCCUGGUGUAGCAGUGAAAUGCGUAGAUAUCAGGAGGGACACCGGUGGCGAAGGCGGUCGGCUGGCUCGUAACUGACGCUGAGGCACGAAAGCGUGGGGAUCAAACAGGAUUAGAUACCCUGGUAGUCCACGCCAUAAACGAUGUAUGCUUGGUGUUGGGUGAGUAAUCACUCAGUGCCGAAGGCAACCUGAUAAGCAUACCGCCUGGGGAGUACGAUCGCAAGGUUGAAACUCAAAGGAAUUGACGGGGGCCCGCACAAGCGGUGGAUCAUGUGGUUUAAUUCGAUGCAACGCGAAGAACCUUACCCGGGCUUGAAGAGCAGGUAGUAAAGAGAUGAAAGUCGAAUGAGCCGUAAAGUCGGUUGCCUGUAGAGGUGCUGCAUGGCUGUCGUCAGCUCGUGCCGUGAGGUGUUGGGUUAAGUCCCGCAACGAGCGCAACCCCUAUCCUUAGUUGCCAGCACGUAAAGGUGGGAACUCUAGGGAGACUGCCUACGCAAGUAGAGAGGAAGGCGGGGAUGACGUCAAGUCAUCAUGGCCCUUACGUCCGGGGCUACACACGUGAUACAAUGGUCGGAGCAGAAGGCAAAGGCGCAAGCCGGAGGCAAUCCCUAAACCCGAUCUCAGUUCGGAUUGGAGUCUGCAACUCGACUCCAUGAAGGUGGAAUCGCUAGUAAUCGUGGAUCAGCACGCCACGGUGAAUACGUUCCCGGGCCUUGUACACACCGCCCGUCAAGCCAUGGAAGCCGGGGGUGCCCGAAGCCGGUAGCAAUACCGUCGAAGGCGAAAUCGGUGACUGGGGCUAA